rnacentral:ncRNA from 1 species
AAGGCCUGAUGUGUGUGAGAUUACCCGCUGAAUUUAAGCAUAUAAGUAAGCGGAGGAAAAGAAACUAACUAGGAUUCCCUUAGUAAUGGCGAAUGAACAGGGAUCAGCUCAGUGCCAAAUCGGAAUCACUUGUGGUUCUGAAAUGUGGCUUGAAGGCAGUACCAGUGGCAUCGCGGACGAAAGUCUCUUGGAAAAGAGCGUCAUAGAGGGUGAGAAUCCCGUGAGUCGUUCGCCGUUUGUCACGUACGGUCUGCGUUCUAACGAGUCGCGUUCCUUGGGAUUGGAGCGUAAACGGGUGGUAAAUUUCAUCCCAAGCAAAAUAUAUACUCGAGACCGAUAGCACAAAAGUACCGUGAGGGAAAGGUGAAAAGACUUUGAGAAGAGGGGUAAAUAGUG